rnacentral:lncRNA from 1 species
AUCUCCUACGUCCCAAAUAUGGAGUCGUAUUUAAGACUAUUGCAAUAAGGAAGAGAGAAUGGGCUCAACUCCCAGUGAAAAAGAGAGCUCUGGGGAUUUAUAGCCAAAGCUCAGGGUAGGGGGAGGAGAAUGGAAAAUUACUAAGAAGAGCCAUCAAGUGUGGGAGGCUCCUGCUCAGCAGCACUGAUACAACGUGGAUUCUCCUAAGACUGGUGAGUUCUCCAGCCUGGGCUGCUGCUGCACAACUAUGAACCCCUUAGGAUAAAGGGCCUCAUCAGAGAAAACUAGGUCAUUGGAGCUGAGCCAUGAGGGGCACUUGGGGACCCAAGACGACUUCUCUUUGCUUCUCAGUUGCCAUGAGGAGAGCAACCGCCUCCACCGUCCCCUCCUCCAUGUGCUGCCAUGCCACGGGUCCAAAGACAAGGAUCCAAGAGACCCCAACCUGCACCUCUGACCCCAUGAGUCAAAACAAUCCUUUUUCUCUCUGGUAAACUGCCGGGCUGAGAGGAGCAGCAAGCAUCUAUGGAAGUCUUCCCCGCUGAAGGCCCAUGCUGUCCUGUAUGGCAGCUGAAGAUGCAAUGCUGUCCUCCAUAACAGAUGAAAGCCUACGACUUUUGCCCCACAACAAAGCCAUCAAGACUUUUGCCCCACAACGAAGCCAUCAAGAGCAUAGGAGACUAUUGGGGUAACCAACCAUGUUGCUGGACACGCCUGGGGAUCAAUUUUUAAAAUUAAGGAAUCCAUCUACAGGUCCUAACUGGUCUUCAGUAGUCAUCGAUGAACCCUUUAAUUACCCAGUUUUUGCCCCCUUUGAUUGGAAAUGUGGAUCAAGAUCAACUGAGUAGCAGAGACUUUCUUCCAAAUCAACUUUCCAGCGUUGGGAUGACAGGCUGGUGAAGGGAGGACUAUCUACAUCUUUCCGGAAACGGAUGGAGAUCUCCCUAGCACGCAGAACCUGUUCUCUUCUCUCCUUAUAGUUCCUUCCUUGCAGUCGUGACAAUCGAUGACUAUCGUGGCUUUGGAGGUUUGUGUCUGCCUGCAGAUGGAGUUAUAAUGAAGUUAGAAGUUGUAUGACGUCACCCUGGCAGCCAUCUUAGACUGACACUACUUCCCGACAGCCUACUUGAAGGACUUUGGGCUCACGUGUAUCCUGUUCUCAAGGACAUCCAAGCUCAGGGCUGGUUGGUGAGUCUUGGGGAUGGGACUCUGAGCAUGUCCCUGGGGGCAUUAUCUUAACCGAGGAGAGGAGAGCUGCUCUCUGUGGGUGGAACCAUUUCUUGGUUGGAUCAUUGCACUCUUAUUUCUGACUGGGACUAAAAGUUUCAGGUUCCUUCCACUGACUUCCCCAUCUUGAUGGAACUCUACCUCAAACUGUGAACUGAAACAAACCCUCCUUUCUUAAGCUGCUUUUGUUGGAGUAUUUUAUCACAGCAACAGAAAAUUAAGUAAGGCAGCUGGGGGACACCCAGGGUUAACACCUUCUCUCAGCAGAGCUUUCAUCUGGAUAGUGGAGACAUGGCAGAGGACAGACACAAGGGUGCUUACAGGAGAAGACCUGGAAGACUGAGGAAAUAGAGGCUGUUAAUCCCACCAGAUGCGAAUAAGAUCACUACCACAAUUCCUGAGCCAAAUUUGAAGCAGGCUUUAUUACAUAUUGUCCAGGACAAUGAAUACUGGCCAGGUCCAUAUCCAGGACUCCCAGAGAAUGGCACUGUUUUAUAGAUCUCUUAAGCACAGUAAUUUAAACCUAAAACACAACUUUAGUUAUCACAAGGCCUUGGGCACACAUCCUAAUCUCCUCCAGCCUCCUAUGACACCAAGUGUGACAGGUAGCUGGAGAGGAUCCUGCUAGGGCUGGCUACGCCCAAUUAUGUCUGAUCCCAACUUUCUUCCACUGAGGCCUUCUGAGCUUUUUGAUCACCUAGACAGGUUAUGGUGGCCCAAUGACUUCCACACAGAACCCACCGUGCUUGUAUAAUGAGUGUUAGAGAAACCCUGAGUUGCUUUGGGGAAGCGGCUCAGUUGACAGAGAUUACCUGGCAUUCACGAUGUCCUGGGACGCAUCCCCAGUAGUGAAUACACUUGGUGUGGUGCUGUACACCUGUGACCCCAAAUCUUUGAGGAUAGAAGCAUCUGCAAUGGAAGUUCAAGGUCUGCGUUGGUUACGUAAGGAGUUAGAGGCACAGCCUUGGACUGUGAGACUGUCAGAAAAAGCAAUCAAGCAAGCAGCCUAUGAGAAGAGGUUCUAGAUCCAAGCACUGUUCUGAACCAAACAUGUCUGGCCCUACCAUAUGUCCAGGUUAUACUUGUGGCUAGAGAAAAGGCAAUGUCAUACAGAAAAUACCUUAGUGAUUCAGAAUCCAUGUUUGCCUUAUAGAGCUUGCUGUGCUCAGUCAGUCAGCUGCAAUCUGUGGAAGCUCAGCUGGGGAGUAGCUGACAUUCGCUUGCAAACAGGGCAUACUCACGUUAGGUUACACCUUGUUCACAUGUCAAGCGAGGUGCAGUUGACAAUUCUGGAGGCUGCUUUAAGUCAAACUUUCCUUAUCCUUAGUAUAGAGGUGGGUAUAGGCCAAGCCUAGUUUAGCAAGAGCAUAUUGGUUGUGGCUCUAAGAAUGCUGUUCCUAGUGACCUAUACAGGCUCAACAGAACUGUCUCUGUUCUUGGGAGACCACUGUGAUGCCACAAUUCUCUAGUGAGAGGGGCUUGUGAAUCUAUAGUUGCUGGUGCCAGUCGUGGAGCUAGCAGGAACUCCUGUAAGUCAUCCUGUAACUGAGAAUACUUGUCAGCUGGUGAAACAGACUAGAACUGCUGCCAGCCGCCCAAGGAGUUCACUUAUCCUUACGAGGCCCCUCAGGAAUGUAAAGCAGGAUCCUUGACUUCACUGCAGAAAAGAAUUUUAAGAUGAGCCAGUAGGAAGCAAAAUCAGAGCUUAUUCGAUUUUAUAUAUAACAUUUUAAAUUUUAUGUUAUUUGGGUCCGUGUGAAUGGCACAGUGCAGGUGUGGUGGUCAGAUGACAACACUAGGAAGCUGUUUUUCUCUUUUCAACAUGUAGGUUCCAGAUCAAACUCAGGCUGCCUCCACCUCCUGAGUGCUGGUAUUAAAGGGGUGUGCCACCACUCCCCACAAAACGUCCAAUUUGAGUUGGAUGUGGUGGUAUAUGCUUGUCAUUCCAGCUCUUGGGAGGUGGAGGCAGGUGGAUGAGGAAGGGGUUUAAGAUGGCCAAGAUGGCUACAUAAAAAAAAGUUCAGGCCAGCCUGGGCUAUACAAGACCUUGUUUCAAAAAAACAAACACAAACAAACAAACAAGCAAACAAGCAAAGCCUGUCCCCAGAUCCCAUUUAGGCAUUCACCUCUCUAGGAUGUGGCUUAUAUACUUUUGACAGUUUGCUGGAGACAAUCAGCAGAGGUGAGUUUUUAAACCAGGGCUUGGGAAGACAGAGAAGGUUAGGCUUGGAGGAUUUGGUUGACCAGUAUUGAGGGGGAGCAUCUGCCAGUGGCCGCAGGUGGGUAGAAGCCAUGGAUGCUGCCAAACACCCUACAGAGCACAGGGGAAUCAUCCUUAAAACCCAGUCAUCCAGCCAGGCAUUGGAGAGGCUUACACAGGAAUAUCUUAAGUUAAAGGCCUGCCUGGUUUACCUAACACAUUCUAGGUCAGCUAGACAGUGAGACCUUGCUUCAAGCAAAACAACCCAAAACUCUAUUCCUCCCAAUCACCAGGUCACAAGUGUCAACACUGCCAGGCAGAUGUGAUGUCUAUUCUUGGUUGCCAACUUGACUACAUCUGGAACUAACUGAAACCCCAAAAAAUUGCUGGGGACACCCAUGAGGGGUUCUUGCUUAAUUAAAUCAUUUCAGAUCUCUGAGGUGAGAAGAUACAACUUUAAUCUGGAUCUUUUGAGGGAGGAAGAUAAACCUUUAAUCUGUGGCACACCUGCUGGCAGCCUAUUUAAAGGACAUGGAAGAAGGAAGCUUGCUGUCUUUGCCUGCUUGUUCUUGCUUCCACUAGCAAGUCCAGUGCUUCACUGACAUUAGAUUCCAGUGUACGCUGAAGACCAGCUGAGACAUGCAGCCUUGUGAACUGAGCAACUACUGGACUGUUAGACUAGCUGGACCACAGUCUGCAAGCUAUUCUAGUAAAACACUCUCUCUCUCUCUCUCUCUCUCUCUCUCUCUCUCACACACACACACACACACACACACACACACACACACACACACUGUACCUUGCUAAUCUACAGAACCCUAAUACAGCAGAGAAACCCAGGCAUUUCACCAACGAAGAGGAAGUGUUCCAGACUACCACUCCAGCCUCCCCUUCCCAUCACACCCUUCUUGUUCUUGUCAGCCUCCACUAUCACACAUUAAACACCAACAAAAAAGCUAAUCAUCUCUCAAUGCUCACGAGGCUGGCUGUGUCUCUACUGAAAUUAGCCUUCUCGUUGGUCGGUUGACAAUGUUGCUCCUGCCAAGAGUGUCAUCUAAGACAAGCACUUUGAUCUGAGCAGGCACAUAUCAAUCUUAUUUUGAAAAAUGAAAAAAGAUGCCCAAAGAGCACUGUGAACUAACAAACGUGCUGCAGGUUUGGAGUGCGCAAAGGGCUUUCCAAUAACGUCUUGUAAUUCGACCCGACAACACUCUGGCAGGAGGCUUAUUACAAUGCGUCAGUGCUGUAGCACUCGAGGAACCAGGUCGCUGGCCGCCUGGCUGCAGACACUAGGCUAGGGGAGGUUAGGAGACAGAAGCGUGCCAGGCUGGAUGAGAUCCACACGAACCUCCAGGUCCCGCACUCGACUCCCCCACGCCCGCCUCGCCCCCGAACCAAAUCAUUCUGGAUGUUUCCUGUCUCCCUCUUUCUGCACAUAGCCCAGCAGAUCCUCAAAAGGCGUCUUAACUGGAACCGAAGUCGCACGGAUUCACGUGCGAUCGUGCGAAGUCUUGGCUUGCAGCCUCGCGAGGACCCCGGGGUGACUUCUAGGACAGUGGCUGCAGAUAAGCCAGGCCAGGUGUUUGCAGCAGGUGCUCUCAGCAGGUGCUCGCAGGCGGCCCUGGACUCUGCUGCCGACCGAGCCGAGCUUCCCGGCUGCUGCGCAGUGCGGCGUGCAGCAAGGCGGUGUGUCUUCGAGGGAGCUUGGGGAGACCAUCCAUAUUUUUAAAGGGCUCGCGUCCUGCAGCCCGAAGAAGCUGCCGCUCUGCAGGGUCGAGAGCGCACCUGCGCUGUGCACGGCCACGUGACCCAGCCCCAUUCAUCUCCGCAGCUAGCGAGGCCCCGAGACAGCGGAUGUAACGUCCCAGGACAAAGAGGCAGGAUACUUCCUGAAACCCGUCCUCCUGUGCAAGUGCCAACGCCGGCGCGCUGACGCCCGCGGCUCGCCGUUCGCCUUUCCUGACCUCGCUGCGCCCCUAAGGGAGCCCGGGCCUGCGCACCGCCCGCGGCUCCCCAGCGCGCACCUGGCGCCCACGGGUGCGCGCCCCACCCUCCAGGUGAGCAGCGCCAGGCCCCGCCCUCGCCUCCAG